AUUGUUUUAAGUUAAUUAAACUAUGGGCCUUCAAAGCUUAAAUUAGAGGUAUGAAAUUUUUAAACUUUA
rnacentral:tRNA from 1 species